rnacentral:rRNA from 1 species
UAGGGAAUCUUCGGCAAUGGACGAAAGUCUGACCGAGCAACGCCGCGUGAGUGAAGAAGGUUUUCGGAUCGUAAAACUCUGUUGUUAGAGAAGAACAAGGACGUUAGUAACUGAACGUCCCCUGACGGUAUCUAACCAGAAAGCCACGGCUAACUACGUGCCAGCAGCCGCGGUAAUACGUAGGUGGCAAGCGUUGUCCGGAUUUAUUGGGCGUAAAGCGAGCGCAGGCGGUUUCUUAAGUCUGAUGUGAAAGCCCCCGGCUCAACCGGGGAGGGUCAUUGGAAACUGGGAGACUUGAGUGCAGAAGAGGAGAGUGGAAUUCCAUGUGUAGCGGUGAAAUGCGUAGAUAUAGGGAGGAACACCAGUGGCGAAGGCGGCUCUCUGGUCUGUAACUGACGCGGAGGCGCGAAAGCGUGGGGAGCAAACAGG